AGAGUUUGAUCCUGGCUCAGGACGAACGCUGGCGGCGCGCCUAACACAUGCAAGUCGAACGAGAGAGAAGGAGCUUGCUUCUUCGAUCGAGUGGCGAACGGGUGAGUAACGCGUGAGGAACCUGCCUCAAAGAGGGGGACAACAGUUGGAAACGACUGCUAAUACCGCAUAAGCCCACGGGUCGGCAUCGACCUGAGGGAAAAGGAGUGAUCCGCUUUGAGAUGGCCUCGCGUCCGAUUAGCUAGUUGGUGAGGUAACGGCCCACCAAGGCGACGAUCGGUAGCCGGACUGAGAGGUUGAACGGCCACAUUGGGACUGAGACACGGCCCAGACUCCUACGGGAGGCAGCAGUGGGGAAUAUUGCACAAUGGGGGAAACCCUGAUGCAGCGACGCCGCGUGGAGGAAGAAGGUCUUCGGAUUGUAAACUCCUGUUGUUGAGGAAGAUAAUGACGGUACUCAACAAGGAAGUGACGGCUAACUACGUGCCAGCAGCCGCGGUAAAACGUAGGUCACAAGCGUUGUCCGGAAUUACUGGGUGUAAAGGGAGCGCAGGCGGGAAGACAAGUUGGAAGUGAAAUCUAUGGGCUCAACCCAUAAACUGCUUUCAAAACUGUUUUUCUUGAGUAGUGCAGAGGUAGGCGGAAUUCCCGGUGUAGCGGUGGAAUGCGUAGAUAUCGGGAGGAACACCAGUGGCGAAGGCGGCCUACUGGGCACCAACUGACGCUGAGGCUCGAAAGUGUGGGUAGCAAACAGGAUUAGAUACCCUGGUAGUCCACACCGUAAACGAUGAUUACUAGGUGUUGGAGGAUUGACCCCUUCAGUGCCGCAGUUAACACAAUAAGUAAUCCACCUGGGGAGUACGACCGCAAGGUUGAAACUCAAAGGAAUUGACGGGGGCC
rnacentral:rRNA from 1 species